GAUGAACGCUGGCGGCGUGCCUAAUACAUGCGAGUCGAGCGAACAGAUGAGGAGCUUGCUCCUCUGACGUUAGCGGCGGACGGGUGAGUAACACGUGGAUAACCUACCUAUAAGACUGGGAUAAUUUCGGGAAACCGGAGCUAAUACCGGAUAAUAUAUUGAACCGCAUGGUUCAAUAGUGAAAGACGGUUUUGCUGUCACUUAUAGAUGGAUCCGCGCCGCAUUAGCUAGUUGGUAAGGUAACGGCUUACCAAGGCAACGAUGCGUAGCCGACCUGAGAGGGUGAUCGGCCACACUGGAACUGAGACACGGUCCAGACUCCUACGGGAGGCAGCAGUAGGGAAUCUUCCGCAAUGGGCGAAAGCCUGACGGAGCAACGCCGCGUGAGUGAUGAAGGUCUUCGGAUCGUAAAACUCUGUUAUUAGGGAAGAACAAAUGUGUAAGUAACUAUGCACGUCUUGACGGUACCUAAUCAGAAAGCCACGGCUAACUACGUG
rnacentral:rRNA from 1 species